AAUCCAUAUUGUGGACACUUUCGCAAAAGGUCUUUGAAAUAUUCCCAUGUCUCAAACAGGGAUUCGAGCUCCAUCUAAACAAAAGAUGAAAUCUCAUUGUGAAGCUU